rnacentral:rRNA from 1 species
AUUGAACGCUGGCGGCAGGCCUAACACAUGUAAGUCGAACGCGUGGCGGACGGGUGAGUAAUGUCUGGGAAACUGCCCGAUGGAGGGGGAUAACUACUGGAAACGGUAGCUAAUACCGCAUACCAUCGGAUGUGCCCAGAUGGGAUUAGCUAUAAGGUGGGGUAACGGCUCACCUAGGCGACGAUCCCUAGCUGGUCUGAGAGGAUGACCAGACACACUGGAACUGAGACACAGUCCAGAAUCCUACGGGAGGGAGCAGAGGGGAAUAUUGCACAAUGGGCGAAAGCCUGAUGCAGCCAUGCCGCGUGUAUGAAGAAGGCAUACGGGUUGAAAAGUACUUUCAGCGAGGAGGCGUUACUCGCAGAAGAAGCACCGGCUAACUCCGUGCCAGCAGCCGCGGUAAUUC